GGCCGCCAGCACGGCGCGGAGGUGGGCUUGCGGCGGCGGCGCAGGAGAGGUCACCGCGGUGGCAUUCCUCUCCGCGCUGUUUACGUGACUUAAUGUACUCGCUGCGCCGCGGCCUGUUAUCUAGGCCACCCAAUGACCGACGAAAGAUCUUCCCUCCCUGCUUCUCCCGUGGCCGCUUUAAACCAAAUAAAUUUAGCUAUUAAGGGCCAAGAUGUCUGACAAAAGAUCGAAAGGUGUCUUUCCGUGAUCGCUUAAAGAAGCAAAGGAGAAGCUCGCGGCUCCCAAAUCCCGAUAAAGAAAUUCCGCGCCGGCGCCGGCCUCCCUCCCCGCGGCCUGGUUGCUCCCUGACGCCCUGAGACCCCGACUUCGGCGGCCGCAGACCCCUGAGGGGCCGGGCGGGACCCGUGGCCGCCGCCCAGGGAAGGUGAAGUCCCCUGGGCUACGGGGCCAGGGAGUGACAAGGCCCUAGGGGACAGGGCGGACACUGGGGUCCCCGGGAGUUCUGGAGCUCCAGGUGGGAGCUGGGGAUCCUGCACUUCGCAGAAAACCUAAACCGAGCUCAGGGGGCCAAAAUUACCACCGUAUUUUUAUUAUUUUCUGAUGCUAAAUAAUAAAGAUAAAACCAAACCGCCCCCACUUACCACUCCACUCCCUGUGGGUCUGCUAAGAGGCAGUGUGCUGCUCCACGUCGCUGGUCCUGGGGAGCAGCCAUUCCUUUGAACCCCAGGCUGAAGGUGGUGGGUGGAAUUGAGGCUGCCCGGGAGGGUGUGGACUCGCAGAGAAACGGCACGCAGGUGGGAGGCAGAGGUCCAAUCAUUCAGUCAUCCUCGGCUUGGGUUUGGUUAUGAAAUGUGGUAUUUAUUAUCAUUAUUAAUUGCUACUGGCACCACUACAUAAAGCCUAAGGCUGCCAGUUGGGCUGAGGCCCUGUCCCUGGAUCCCUUCCCUUUCACCAAAGGGUGAUGGCAGGGAAGAUCCAGUUUCCUGAUCCUGGAUACUAAAAAGUGGGUUUGGGGAGUCAGGUGUGACUUUUUGAAGUUUUCUCCUCCCUUCAAGUAAAAGGAGUCCAUAUUGCAGACCAGCAUAAACCUUUUCGACCUCUGAAAUAGGAUAAGGAAGUGAUGGGUGGGGGCUGGUGGGGUAGCUGCAGAUGAGAUCCCUUGGCUUCCCUGCAGGGGGCUUUCCUAAGUCUUCUGCCUCCCCUAAUGUGUUCUCUAGCAGAUGUUGGGGGCAGGACUCUCAAUUCCAAAAGGCAGCCCAGGGUCUCCUGUCUGUCCCCUCACACUGGGUUGGGAAGUGGAAGAUGCCUUUCUUUUCUUGUUAGCCCUUCCAAAUAAGGUGAAUGCCAAAAAUCAUCCAUCCUAUCUAAUCCUUACCCCACCAGCCUCUGGGGAGGAGAAAAAUCAGAGCAUCAGAGGAAAAGGGAGUAUUUCUGCUCCCAAGAAGGUGAAAGAGAUGGAGAAAUUUCCAACCCACUAGAUAGGCAGGACCUAGGCUCUUCCUGGAUUUUGCUGGUAUCACAAGGUGUUCAGGCCAUGCCAGUUCUAGGGCCUGGGUCCAGAUAUCACUCUCCCUGGGCUGUCUCAGCCCAAAGACCUUCCUGACUGUUCUAUAGUUUGUUUUUGUUUUUGUUUUUGUUUUUUUUUUCAAAACCAAAAAGUGUGGGACAGGGAUUACUAAAAGGAAACAGGAAAAAGAAGGAAAUCAGCUUUUGGAGACUUGCUAAAUUACAAAUGCCCCUCUUUGAGACAAUCAAAAGG